AUCAGAGUCUGCGAGGACCUCUUCACAGGCGACAAGGACGAGCAGGACAGGAUCGCCAUCAACAAGAAAUGCCUCGACGAAUAUGGCUUCAGCCAAUUACAUGACGUGGACCCCGAAACCCUCUUCAGACCAGCUGGACUGCAGGUUCUCACACUGAUUGGUUCCGAGGAGAAACACGAGGCUUUAAAGCAGUGCGUCCUUCGGGAACGGGGAGUGCUGAAGCCUGAUGGAACAGUCGACCCACAGCCAUUCUUGGACAGGCUAACUCUCGCCCUUAACGACACCCGCCCUGACAUCCUCGAGCGUCUCCUUUCCACUGCAGAGUCCUGCUCAGUCGAAAAC